AGCCGGGGUGGCAGCGGUACCCUGUAUCAGCAAUCCGCUAUAGCUGAGGUGAUAUUCUGCCGAGGGUCUUUUGAUUGCAAAGCUGCCCUUUAUAAGUGGCGAUGACGCUUGGGUCUUGCGCAACAGGAAUUUACGAACCGGGUCAGGUCAGGAAUGGAGCAGCCCUAAGUAAACACUCUUGUGUGCCGUGAGGGUGCCUGGGCUGAGUUAACUGUAAAGGUAACGUUUGUGAUCAGGAUUCGAAGCAGGAUGCUC
rnacentral:SRP_RNA from 1 species